rnacentral:lncRNA from 1 species
AAAUGUUAUAAUAUAGAUUAAUGGACAAAGAGAAGGAAUUUUUUAUCCACAAUUAUAUAAACACACUAACUUUGGGCUAUUUUUGGAGCAUAGUCGGUUAUACGCGAAAUACAACUGGGAAAUGCAUUUGAGUGGAAGAAAAAGAGGUGCAAAUCUCUAUUAAUAAAACACAACACACAAAAGAGGUGUGAUAUGUUUGUGAACGUGGAAUGAAUUACUCUCAGAUGACUGCAAUAGAGUGUGACUCUUCUUCAUCAGCACUCCUACAUCAUCAUCAGCAUUUGCCUCUUUUAAUUAUUUAAAUUAUUGAUACGUAGAACUU